rnacentral:rRNA from 1 species
AUGGGCCUUUCUCUUGGACUGCGCAACCCGAGAUGUGCCGAUUUUCAAGCUCUCAUUGACAAGAUUAUUGCUCGGCUCGCAAGAUGGAAAGGGAAACUCCUCGACAAGGCGGGCAGGCUAACUCUCAUCAACUCUGUGCUCACCUCUUUGACCACUUAUUUCUUCACUAUCUUCCCUCCUCCAAAGUGGCUCAUCAAGAGAAUUGACAAGAUUAGGAGAGGGUUCCUAUGGAAAGGAGAUGAAGAUGCAACUGGUGGAAACUGU